UACGAAGGGGGCUAGCGUUGUUCGGAAUUACUGGGCGUAAAGGGCGCGUAGGCGGUACUUCAAGUCAGGCGUGAAAGCCCCCGGGCUCAACCUGGGAACCGCGCUUGAGACUGGAGAACUAGAGUUCGGGAGAGGAUGGUGGAAUUCCCAGUGUAGAGGUGAAAUUCGUAGAUAUUGGGAAGAACACCGGUGGCGAAGGCGGCCAUCCUGGACCGCAAACUGACGCUGAGGCGCGAAAGCGUGGGGAGCAAACAGG
rnacentral:rRNA from 1 species